AUGGAAAAGAAAAAAAACACGCUUACCUCCCCCGUCUCCACCUCCAGCGCGCCGCCGGCCCCCGCCAAGCGCCGUCGCAGUCUGCCCUCACCCUUCCGCCGCGCGCCGCCGCCGCCCCUCCGCCGUGCGCCGCCCCCACCCCUGCGGCUUUCCACCACCGGCGACACUCGACGCCGGCGCCGCACCUUCCCCCAACUCCUCUCUCUCCUCCUCCUUCGCCGUCACCGCUCUUCAUCAGCCGGCAGACUCUGUCCAAAUGGGCAGGCGGCGCUGGAGUUCAUCGGAACGGGUAGGCGGCCGGCGGGCGGCGCGAGGAAGAUGGCGGAUCUGGGCGCGGCAUCGAGGGUUCAGGAUGAAUCAGAAACUGAAGAUGAUGAUCCCAUGGAUACAGAAGAAGCUUCCUCUGUCCCAUCGCUGCACUGCAGUCUUUCAGCCAAGCUCUGUAAUUUAGCAGUUGAGAUCAAGAUGCUACUCCAAUCUAUAUAUGAAACCAAAUCAGGUGGGCUUGAUGACAAAGAGGUAAUAAGAGAUGAACUCUUCCAGUAUAAAAAGUUGAUGGUCCUAAUUAGUUUAUAG
rnacentral:rRNA from 1 species